UGGAAGGCGUAGAAUAAAGGAUAAUUUAGUCUGGUUACAAACAGAUUUACGCUAAUAAAAGGUGCAGGACACACAUAGGAUUUACAAAAUCAUCAUCAGGUCAUAAAACCGGCAUAAGCGAACAAAUGACUGAAUAUAAAAUAAAAAUGAUAAACACAUAGAUAAAUUGUUUUUCAUUGUUUUUCACAGAAGAAUUCUAAGAACCGGGUUCUAAGCAAGACAUCCCAUCUCGGAUGUGCGCAGGGACAAUAAGCGAAAGGAGGUACGCAGGAUGGUGUACGCAGUUGAUAUAUCUUAGAUAGGAGAAAAUCUGGAAGAAAGGAACCGAGAAUAAAUGGAAGUAAAACGGAGAGCAUGAGUUUGGAGGAACAGGAUAACAUGGUUAAUCACGUUAAUGGCAAUAAGUAGUGUCGUUAUAGUCGAAGGUGAAGUUUUAAAGACGAAGGAUCUUUUGUACAAAAGAACGGUGACUUUGACGACGAUGUGAAACAUAGGAUUAAGUGUAAUCGAAUAAAGUGAAGCAUCGGGUGUUUUACGUGACAAGAGAGUUUUAAUGAGACAUAAAGGUACGUUCAAAAAUAAAUUUUAGUGAAACUACCUAAGCUUGUUUACGCAAAGCUUAUUUUUCGCCAAUCUCGAAAUCAAAAAGCAAUAAUAACCGUUUUAUAUUCGUUCGAUUCGGGAAACCAGAAUUAAUCGAUGAGACAACUUGAAGUCUAUAAUAUACGUUCAACAAACAUAAAUUGAAAUUCAAAGCGUUGUCAAUGGUCGGUUUUAUCUAGGAGGUCUAAUAAAAUGAUACGUAUGAACUUUUCAAUAACAUUUUC